rnacentral:rRNA from 1 species
CGAAAGGUUGGCUAAUACCGCGUACGCCCUACGGGGGAAAGCAGGGGAUCUUCGGACCUUGCGUUAAUGGAGCGGCUGAUAUCUGAUUAGCUAGUAGGUGAGGUAAAGGCUCACCUAGGCUUCGAUCAGUAGCUGGUCUGAGAGGACGACCAGCCACACUGGAACUGAGACACGGUCCAGACUCCUACGGGAGGCAGCAGUGGGGAAUUUUGGACAAUGGGGGCAACCCUGAUCCAGCCAUUCCGCGUGAGUGAAGAAGGCCUUCGGGUUGUAAAGCUCUUUCGCAAGGGAAGAAACGUUACAGUCUAAUAAACUGUGAUAAUGACGGUACCUUGAUAAGAAGCACCGGCUAACUACGUGCCAGCAGCCGCGGUAAUACGUAGGGUGCGAGCGUUAAUCGGAAUUACUGGGCGUAAAGCGUGCGCAGGCGGUUUUGUAAGUCAGAUGUGAAAUCCCCGAGCUCAACUUGGGAACUGCGUUUGAAACUACAAGGCUAGAGUAUGGUAGAGGGGGGUAGAAUUCCACGUGUAGCAGUGAAAUGCGUAGAGAUGUGGAGGAAUACCAAUGGCGAAGGCAGCCCCCUGGACUAAUACUGACGCUCAUGCACGAAAGCGUGGGGAGCAAACAGGAUUAGAUACCCUGGUAGUCCACGCCCUAAACGAUGUCUACUAGUUGUUGGGAGAGUAAAAUCUCUUAGUAACGCAGCUAACGCGUG